UCAAAAUAUGCAUGUUCCAAAAAUGCAUAUUCCUGAUAGCUUGCGCCAUUGAUCAUCUGUCAGCGUGCGCGUUCUUGCACACAGACAGCGGUUCGCCGGUUGCCACGUCACCCUCGCAGUCGUCACUGCAUAAACAGUAAAGAUGGCGGCCUCCGUCCGGGAAAAACAGACAGCUGCUUUGAAGCGAAUGCUUAACUUUAAUGCACCACCCCUGAAAAACACAACAGCUGAGCCGGUAUGGAAGGUUCUUAUAUACGAUCGCUUUGGCCAAGACAUCAUAUCUCCUCUGCUGUCUGUGAAAGAGUUACGAGACAUGGGCAUCACUCUGCACCUCUUAUUGCACUCAGAUCGCGACCCCAUUCCAGAUGUUCCUGCUGUUUACUUUGUAAUGCCCACAGAGGAGAACGUCGAUAGGAUAUGUCAAGACCUCCGAAACCAACUAUAUGAGUCCUACUAUUUGAACUUCAUCUCCGCAAUCUCCAGAAGCAAGUUGGAGGACAUAGCAAGUGCUGCUCUAGCAGCUAAUGCAGUUAACCAAGUGACCAAAGUAUUUGAUCAAUAUUUGAACUUCAUCACACUUGAAGAUGAUAUGUUCAUUCUCUGCAAUCAAAACAAAGAACACAUUUCCUAUCAUGCAAUCAAUAAACCAGAUAUCAUGGACACAGACAUGGAGGGCAUAAUGGACACAAUAGUGGACAGUCUCUUCUGCUUCUUUGUCACUCUUGGUGCUGUCCCAAUAAUCCGAUGUCCAAGAGGGAAUGCUGCCGAAAUGGUAGCCGUGAAACUUGACAAGAAACUGAGAGAGAAUCUGCGAGACGCUCGUAACAGCCUGUUCACCGGAGACACCAUGGGCUCUGGCCAGUUCAGCUUCCAGAGGCCGCUGUUUGUUCUUGCUGAUCGUAACCUGGAUCUAGCAACUCCUCUCCACCACACAUGGACGUAUCAGGCUCUCAUUCAUGAUGUGCUGGACUUCCAUCUGAACCGCGUGAGUGUGGAGGAGUCUCAAGGGUCAGAGGCCAGCCCAGCAGGAGCACGACCCAAAAAGAAAAACAAGAAGAGCUAUGAUCUCACUGCUGCUGACAAAUUUUGGCAAAAACACAAAGGAAGUCCAUUCCCUGAGGUUGCAGAAGCCGUGCAGGAGGAACUGGAUACAUAUCGAGCCCAAGAGGAUGAGGUUAAACGCCUCAAGAGCAUCAUGGGCUUAGAAGGGGAGGAUGAUGGAGCCAUUAGUAUGUUGUCAGAUAACACUGCCAAACUUACCUCAGCCGUCAGUUCUCUUCCUGAGCUCCUGGAAAAAAAGAGACUGAUUGACCUCCACACCAAUGUUGCCACAGCGGUUUUGGACCACAUCAAGAGCCGUAAGCUUGAUGUGUACUUCGAGUACGAGGAGAAGCUUAUGAGCAAGUCCACGCUCGAUAAAUCCCUGCUGGACAUUAUCAGUGAUCCUGAUGCUGGAACAGCAGAGGAUAAGAUGAGGCUGUUUCUGAUCUACUACAUCACUUCCCAGCAGCCCCCAUCUGAGGCUGAUCUAGAACAGUACAAGAAAGCCUUGGUUGAUGCAAGCUGUGACCUAUCUCCACUUAACUACAUUAAGCAGUGGAAAGCUUUCACCAAGAUGGCUGCGACGCCAGCCAAUUACGGGAGCAGUGGAGUGAAACCAAUGGGACUGUUCUCGAGGGUGAUGAACACUGGCUCCCAGUUUGUGAUGGAGGGGGUGAAAAAUCUGGUCCUGAAACAACAUAACUUGCCGGUUACUCGCAUCUUGGACAAUUUGAUGGAAAUGAAGUCAAACCCGCUACUGGAAUUUCAGUGCCCUGCACAAUACGCCUGUUGUUGGAGAAGCUGGGCAGCUGAGCACUUCAGAAUCUCCUGCCUCCGCUGCUCGUCAGAUAGUCCUUGCAGAUGGGCCUGUGCGACCAGGUUGCAAUAAAUGAAGUAUGCACCAGAGCGCCAGGACUGCCAGGCCGGGCUGACUGAGGUCCCGUGGGGGAAGAGACAGGCUUGGCCCAUCCGAUACAGAGGAUGAGGAAGAGACUGAUGACUACAGAUACUUCGAUCCCAAGAUGCUUCGCGGAAGCGAGAGCUCCAUUCCAAGGAACAAGAACCCUUUUCAAGAGGCCAUCGUCUUUGUUGUUGGCGGAGGCAAUUACAUAGAGUAUCAGAAUCUUGUUGACUAUACAAAGGCCAAGCAAGGGAAGCGGGUUCUUUAUGGCUGUAGUGAGCUUUUCAAUGCUGCCCAGUUCAUAAAACAGCUCUCCCUGCUUGGUCAGAAAUAGGAGGAGAUUUGAAGUCCAGUUAUCCACCCUUCUCGAAACCGGAAUCGAGAUUUCUUCAGUUGUACUUUACAUUAAAACCUCUCUAACUUCAGAAUCACUCAUAUUCCAUGUACUUUAUACUGUUUUCCUAUACUAUUUAAUUCAAUACUAAAGGUUACCGACAAUAAAGUUUAACAGUCUUACGCACCAA